UUUGCCCUACGGGAGGCAGCAGUGGGGAAUAUUGGGCAGUGGGCGCAAGCCUGACCCAGCAACGCCGCGUGAAGGAAGAAGGCUUUCGGGUUGUAAACUUCUUUUCUCAGGGACGAAGAAAGUGACGGUACCUGAGGAAUAAGCCACGGCUAACUACGUGCCAGCAGCCGCGGUAAUACGUAGGUGGCAAGCGUUAUCCGGAUUUAUUGGGUGUAAAGGGCGUGUAGGCGGGAGCGCAAGUCAGAUGUGAAAACUCAUGGCUCAACCCUGAGCCUGCAUUUGAAACUGCGUU
rnacentral:rRNA from 1 species